AUCCACUUUAACAUUGCCAUCUCCAUAGAGACAAACUUUGUGUUUUGGAGGAACAAGAGUACCAAGUUGAGAAAGGUUGCCAACAAAAUAACCAGCAAAACAAUUAGCAGAAAUGUAAGUAUAAGGAAUUUGAGCUUCUUCUAUGGCUUUUCUCACUUCCAUUUUCUCAUCAAAUGUUACUCUUCCUGGUUCUAUUGCAUCUCCCAUUAGUGCUGGAUCCAUACCAAA
rnacentral:misc_RNA from 1 species